CUAGGGUUACCUGCUGAAUGCUUCACAUUGCUAGUGUGCAUUUCUUUGUUUUUUGGCGGACCAGAACAAAGUGCUUUUCAUCAUGGAUUACUACCAACAAGUCAGGGUACGUAUUAUAUGCUCAGGCUGUGGCAGUGUGUGACAUGGAGAGAGAGCAGAGGAGGGAGAGGAGACAUGCUCGAUCCUGUUGGACCAAGCAGUGGCUGAUGCAGAGGGAGUCAUUCUCUCACAUGCCAUUGCUAAUGGAGAUUCAGGAGAAUAAUCCGGAGGAUUACAGCAACUACCUGUGGAUGGACAAGGAGAUGUUCCAGGAGCUGCUGCGACUGGUGACACCCCUCAUCGAGAAGCGGGAUACCAACAUGCACAAGGUCAUAUCUGUGCAGGACAUUCUGGUAGCUACCUGCGCUAUGUGGCUACCGGGAGAUCACUGCAGGACCUCAAGUUCAGCACCCUCAUUUCCCCUCAGGCUUUGGGGCAUAUUAUUCCUGAGACCUGCAAGGUCGUGUUCACCGUGCUCAGAAAAGAGUAUUUUAAGUUUCCUGCUUCUGCUGAUGACUGAAGAGCUAUUGCAGAAGAAUAUGAAGUUCAGUGGAAUUUUCCCAGUUGUGGAGGUGCUAUUGAUGGGAAACAUGUGCACAUCACUCCUCCUACCAAAAGUGGAUCCCUGUACUACAACUAUAAGGGCUUCUCUACAUUGGCAUCUCUAUAAUGGGUGCAAUAUGUGCGGUACAUACUGGCCUCUGGGUCCAGGGGGGCCCCACACUGCACCCAUUUUAAUACUUAGCUUUUCGGAUUCCAGUGUUGGGUGCUGCGGUCGCGGUGGAAAUCACUUCCAAAAUUGCUGCCGCUCCUGCACAGUAGCCACAUUGGUCUCUGGAUCAUUUUGGGCGCCAUGUUUCCGGAGACCUGCGCAUGCACAGUAGACUCCGGCACAAAGCCGGAGUCUACAGCACCGUACAGAGGAGGGGGUCCAUCCAAAGGUGCACACGGGCCCUUUCCUCUGUUGAAACGCCCCUGCUUCUUUAGUGUAGUUCUAAUGGCAAUUGUCAAUGCUAAUUAUGAGUUUCUUUUUGUAGAUGUGGGUAAAAAUGGGCGAGCCUCAGAUUAAAGGACAUAGUGUUUUACAAGAUGCUUGUAACACAGCAGCCACAGCUACCUAAAGCAGAGGACUGCAAGCAUGGGCUAAACAUUGUAUUUGUGGCUGAUUAAGUGUUUGCUCUCCAAGAACAUAUUCUUAAGCCCUACCCACAAAGGCACCUCACAGGGAGAAGUGCAUCUUCAACUAUCGCCUGUCUCGGGCCCAGCGUGUAGCUGAAAAUGCCUUUGGGUUCCUGAGCAGGCGAUUUUGGAUUUUCAACACUGCAAUAGAUCUGCAUGUCGAUAAAAUAAACUGGGUGGCAUUUGGGUGUUGUGCGUUGCAUAACUAUCUGAAGCACAAACACUCCCAUUGUAGUCCUCAACCUAUCACUGUGCUGGAAGACACACCGCACAUUUCGGACAAUGACAGGUGGACUAACGUGGAAGUCACCUCCGGACACACCACACAGGCAGUCAAUGCCGAGGCUAAACAGGUCAGGGAGGACUACCUGGCCUUCUUUAACGGCGUGUGGGCAGUGGCAUGGCAGGAAGCUGCAAUUAAGUAAUGUUAGUUUCUGUUUACCAUAGACAUUACUGAUGUGUACAUAUAUGGAUAUAUGAAUCCUUUGUUUACAUUAAAUGAUGUCAGUUGAU